CGGUGAUUGAAUUACCAACCAACCCACACAUUCACCAAGAGUGAAUAAAACAACAGGCUGAUCAGUUCAUCAGUUGCAAUUUAAUUGUUUUGGUGUAUUAAACACUUGGGAGUACCCUCCCAAAAAUCCAUUAACUAUUCAUUCUCUUAACUAAACAUGUGCAGGCAGUCAAAACCUAUGUGAUUUAUGUUGAAUUUCUUACAAAGUUAAACAUUCAAUGCUUUUACAAGACGUUUAAAAUAACAUAAAAACAAAACAUCACUCUUACUUUGGAAAGUGGUAAUUAACUUUUUAAAACAAUAUAUUGCAACAAAGUGAAUAAAUCCAGUGUACAAUGGCUCACUACUAACUAUGUAACUCCCACCUGAACUGAUUGUGACAAGAUUAAUAUUAACCCUAUCAGUCCCGCGACCCCAGCAAAAAUCUUCUUUUAAUGUAUCUGACUUUAAUUUAUUAUAAGGGCAUCUCUAGCCCUGAUAUUUAGCCUCACAAGGGAGUGUUCUUUUCAGGACAACCAGGGCUACAAGUAGAACACAAAACUAUUUGACAUAAAACAGUUGCAUUCAUGAGUUUAAUUGACAAAUGUCAAUAAAAAAGUUUUUAAUCUGCCAAAGCAAAAUCCUGAUCAAAUUAAUUGAUAUGAAUGCUGUAAGUACAGAAAUUGUAUGCUCACUGGUAAAUGACAACUGUUUAGAUUUUGUGACAGCCACUAUGUGAGCUUAUUAUAGACACUAUGUCCUGGGAUUUCCUAUGAUCUUCUAUGUAGAACAACCCCUUACCUUCUAAUGACUCUUGUGUAGGUGUUGAGCGUCAUAGUUACAUGCAUGUGUUCGUGAGAGUCUCACCUUUUCAUAAAUAUCUUUGAAUAGUUUGUAGCUCAAAUCAUUCAGACUACAUAGGUUUUUGUAAAAAGACCCAGUCCAGGGCCCCAUUGGGAUCCGCCCUUGUCUCACAAACACAGCUCUAGCUCAGCCCCCGUUAAUUACACAGACUAAUGGUUGGCAUCUACGGAUGCAGAAAAAAGACAAAUCCAAUGGUUCUACCCAGAAGUCCAAAACGCACCGGCGUUACAGUGGGACUCAUUGUGUUAAUUCAAUUAUGUCAAUCAGAUAAACACGCAAAUCAGCUUUCAAAAAGCUAAUACAUAACAUGCUGCCACUUUUCUAAAUAUAAUUCAUUACAUUUGACCUUAAAGUAAUCACAAAUACUUAAUUAUCUGAGUUCAAUCUACUCUUUAAUGCUCUCAAUAAACUGAUAAUGAAGUGCCUUUCUAUAAAACAAAUGACCCAGUUCAAAAUGAAAUAUCCUAUGUAGGUCUAUGUUUUGGAUGUAUAUGACCUAAAGUAAACAGAGACCCUUUAUACGAGACCUGUAUAACACAAUCAUAGACCUACAUCAUUCCACAGUCCACACCACAAGUGAGUGAUAUACAGUUCAUGUAAAAGCAUCAGCACUGCACAACAUGUAACUGCCCAUCUAGAAACGCUUAGAAAAUUCUAGACUUCUCCAUAGGACAGGACAGCCCAAUCUGAAGUACAACUCAAUGAUCCAUGUAUCAGUCUUUAAUCUGGCUUUCUUGUAUUCUCAAGCAGACCGUGGCUGCAUUUGAAAGAACAUCGUCAAUGUUUCACACAAUCCAGCAACGUCUGUAAUCAAUGCUCUUUUAGACUUCUUUUGUACUUCUAGCAAUUUCGUUGCUGAAAUCAUUGGUUUGGUAAGUUACUGUCGAGACACAUUUUUUUCCUUUCACAGGAGUUAGUUAGCCUAUUUACAAACUGAUAUGCUACAAGUCAAGGUGGAUAUUCCUUGUUCAUUAAACUUCAGAGACAACACACAGAGAGAAAUAUAGUACUGUACUGAUGUUCUCCUACAGAACAGAAGUUUAACAUCAAGAUGUUGACAUUCAAAACAGCUGUCACCUGAGGGUAAAGCAGAUGGAUUUUUAAAACUUUCAAACGGUGUCAGUCCAUGUUGCAAGACUUGCAAUUAUUCUAUAUUUCUCUGUACAUCAAAUAAUCAAAUAUGUGGCAAGCAAGGCAACAAUACAUUGAAGCCUGGAGAGUAUACAAUGGCGUUUGGAAAUCAUUUAGCCUAAACAACAUAUCCAACCCCCUUUUGAUGUUUUGUCCCUUAAAAACGACUUUGUCUGACCAAAACAACUGACUUCCUGUGUCUGCAUUUGACUUUCAGAUGGGUUGCUUCAAAAUGGAAUGAUCCUCCCAUUUGCAAGAAAAUGCAAGGUUAGAAUAUGCUUUUUAACACUUAAGUAGUAAUGUUCCCAUUUAAGACUAAAACGGCUAUUGUACGUAUCACCAAUUAACAAAAAUCAGCUUGGUUCUGAUCAAGCAACUGAUUUUCACACACUAGGUUAUUGGUUUUGAUAUGGGUUCUGGCUAAUCUGAAGAGUGACUGGCUUGCCCACUGACGUGUAGACUUUGGUUUUGUAUCUCUGCUGCCCUCCCUCCACUCUCUGCACCUCAGAGCAGUAUGCAGGCUUGACCUCUUGCUUGGCUUGGCUGACCUGGAUGGGAAUCUCUCUCUCCCUUCUAGACUGGUCUCCGCUGGGGUGGUGGUGGUGGGGGGCAGCCAGGGAGAACAUGCUGCCUGAGAGGUACUCUCUAAAUCGGCUGAAGAAGCCAGGGCUGCGCCUCCCCCUGGGCACCACCACAGGCCUCCCCACAUUGAGCAGCACUGGCUGGCCCACGACAGAGCCCCCAAUCUCCCUCUGAAGCACAGAGACCUCACAGGGUCUCUCGGCAGGGGAGGACCUGGUGUUGGAGGAGCUGUAGCUCUCCCCCUCCCUGGGAACAUAGUCCUCCAAGUCCUCCAGGGUGAGAACGCGACCAGCCUGGGUCAGGGUCUUAGGCUCCAGCUUCCUGGGAGGUUCCAUGUUAUCAUCAUCAUCAUCCGGUUCUGUGACAAAGGCCUCUUUCUGCUCCUCUAGCCAGGCCUCAUCAUGUUCAUGGUCGUUAGGGAUUAGAACAGCGGAGACCUCGCAGGCCUCUCCACUGAGUCCAGGGGCAACCUCGGACCCAGCCAUGUUCUCAUCCUCAUCAUCAUCCCAGGCUAUAGGAUGAGCCCCCUCCAGCUCGGAGCAGUUCUGCAGCUCUACCAGCUUGUUGUUGGAAUUGUUGGUGUUGGGGUUCGGGGACCUCCGUGGCCGGGUGAAGGAGGGGGUGUUCGCUCGCUCCGACCCAGCUGGGGAGACCCCUCUUCUCCUGGAUAGCCUGGGCGACUUGUUCACCUUGUACUCAAUGAUUUCCUCUACCUCCACCCACCUGUUCUCUGCGGCCCGGGCCCCAGCACCCCCCUCGGGCUCCGUGACGUACAGGGUGGGGAUGGUGGUCUUCCUGCUGGCCGAAACCUGCCUCCUCUGCCUGGCCGUGCCGGUGGGGGUGGUGGGGAGAUCUGGGGUGUUGGUUUCGGAGAGGUUGAACCCAGAUGGAGACAUGCCGCGACGCUUCAUACGGGUGUUCUUCACCACCGUAGUUAUGGUCUCCUCUCUGUAAGGGGACACAGCACAGAGGGUGUGAAAGAGGGACAGACCUAAAUGGGUUCUUUGGCUGUCCUCAUAGGAGAACCCAAAGAAGGAUCAUUUUUGGUUCCAGUUAGAACCAUUUUUUCUAAGAGUGUAUUGUAUGCCAGGAACAGAACAGAAGGUAUGAGAGAGACAGCAGAAAGAGAGAGAACAACAUGAGGGCAUGCUGUUUUCACAAUAAGACUACAUACAAAAGGUGUUAAUUAGCGUGUACAUGCACACGGACACGCGCGCACACACACACAAAGUGGAGUCCUGUCUACUCAUACAAACAUGUCAUGCAAUGGUACAUGAGUUAAGGAAAAUGUGCAGACAAAAAAACAUAUUAACAACCAUUCCCUUAUGGAACCAUUCCAAAUGCCGGCUCCUUGGAAGUUAUAUUUGGCGUUGAGUGAGCCCCUCUUACACUCAGGAUUGAAAUACUGCCUGGCCAUGCAUGCAGAGGCCUAAGGAGGACACACACAAGAAUGCAUGCUUCUUAUAGUCUGUAUCAUAACCUGGUCACACUUACAUGAUGAUGGUUUUCUUUGGUGUUUUAGUCUCCUGCUCAGUGACUAGAAGGAAAGCAGGACAGGGCUUAUGGAGUUAGUCAGAUAAAUUGAUAGCUAAUGUCAAGACAAAAAGAGUACAUCAUCUAAAUUGUUGAUGAACUGAUGGUUCAUCUUUUCCUUUGAAAACCUGGUAAAAGAGGUCAAUUAUGAAACUAAUGCACAACGGUAUGUGCAUGAAUGGGAAUAUUCCUACCUUCGAUGGUGAUCGCCUGCUCUCCUCUUCUAGCCACAGCAGAAGGAAGGCACAGAUCAACUGCACAUUUAGCACUGCCCAGUCGGUUAGACAACUGGGAUGGGCAGGGAGGAGAAUACAUUAGGCUUACUGAAACAAUGGCUUCAUCUUAUCAAUGUAAUGUCUCAUGAAAACAAUACUCUUUGAAGGAUGUCGAGCAUCCAAAUAAUGUAACUACUGUUACAUGUUACUACUACUGUAUCUCUCAUUUUUCUUUUGUAUUGAUCAUUCACACGUGAUACAGCAGCAGCUAUUCACGCGAGGUGCUUUGCAGUCCAGUGUUUUACAACUGUAUGGAAUGGUUUCCUGGACCCAUAUUAGGCCAGUCCUGGAUUAAGAAUCUAUAUUGAAAGUACAUUUCAGUCUUGUACUAGGCUUUAUUUGGCUGGGAAACCGGCCCUAUUUUUUUUUAGCUGAGGGGUGGUGAAUUAAAGGCCUACCUCACACUCGUAGUGUCCCAGGUCUCUCUCCGUAGGGCCUUUAAUGACCAGCACCAGGACUCCACUACGGGACUCAGUGUAGGUCUGAUACUUCUCCUGGUCAGUCAGCAGCCUGCCCUCCUUGAACCAUCUGUUCAGGGACACGCAUGAAAUGACAUUUUGAGAUAAUAUGAAUUACCUUACACAUACUUAUUUAUUAGCUUAUACAGUAUAUUAAUUAUUAAGAAUGGGCAGCAUAAUGAGCACAGUAGGAAGAAGCAAAUGGCACAGUCCACUGUCACUAAAAAAUUGUCAGUUUAAAAAGCCUAGGAGACAGGUGUGGUGUAGUGUACCUGAUCUUGGGGCUGGGGGCGCUCUGGAUGGUGCAGGAAAACUGAGCAUCCUCACCAACGAUUAAGACAGCAUUCCUCAUCUUGUUCACGAAACGAGGAGGCACUAAAACACACAAUUGUUACUCUUGAAAACAGGCUUAUUUUUUUAUAAGAUCAACAUUCCUCCCAGACAAUUUAGAUUCUUGGAAUUGUAGAUUUUUCCCAAAGCAAAGUAUCAAUCACUUUUACUUUUGACAUGUACACUGAGUGUACAAAACAUUAGGAACUCCAUCCUAAUAUUGAGUUGGACCCCUUUUGCCCUCAGAACAGCCUCGAUUUAUCGGGGUGUGGACCCUACAAGGUAUUGAAAGCAUUCCACAGGGAUACUGGCCCAUGUUGACUCCAAUGCCUCUCACAGUCGUGUCAAGUUGACUGGAUGUCCUUUGGGUUGUGGACCAUUCUUGAUACACACGGAAAACUGCUGAGCAUGAAAAACCCAGCAGCAUUGCAGUUCUUGACACACUCAAACCGGUGUGCCUGGCACCUACUACCAUAAGCCGUUCAAAGGAGCCUAAAUCACCAUCUGAAUGGCAAACAAUCCAUGUCUCAAGGCUUAAAAAUCAUUCUUUAUCCUGUCUCCUCCCCCUCAUCUACACUGAUUUGAUUGAAGUGGAUUUAACAAGUGACAUCAAUAAGGGAUCAUAGCUUUCACCUGGAUUCAACUGGUCAGUCUAUGUCAUGGAAAGAGCAGAGACUGACCUUGGACAGUGAUCUUUCCCAGGGUGCUGGCGUUGCCUGCUGUGCUAGUGGCGAAGCACAUGUACUGUCCAGAGUCAUCAGCCGUCAUGUUGUCCAGGAUCAGGGUGCAGGAACCGUCAGGAUCCUCGAUGAUGAUGUGGUGAGGGUCGGCCUCCACUGCCCGCCCGUCUGUCAUCAGAGGAGGAAACAGUUUUAAAAUAGGAGGUGUUUCUACCUCAAAAACAUUAACAGGGUAUGGGCUAUGUAGAUAAAAACAAACAUGCACUGUAUGCACAGCUAUUGCGUUUCGCACAGCUAUUGCGUUUCGCACAGCGCUCUCGAUGGUGUGUCUCAUACCCUUGUACCAGGUGACCACAGGUUUGGGUACUCCAGUAACCUUGCAGGCCAGUUUCACCGUCUGUCUCAGCUCCGCUGUGCAGUCAGCCAGAAGCUCAUCAAAGUCAGGCAUACCUGGACAGAUAGAGGGAUGUAUUUACACAUCAAUCAAUCCUGAGUGGAGAGAUGACACAUUUUAUGCAAUUACAGAUUAAAUUAUAGUAUGCAAUUUCAUAGUAUGUAAAAAGUACUUGUUUGAUAGUAAAGGUUAGAUCACAAUAUGCUAUGUCAAACUUGUCUCUGUUUGUCUGGUGGAUCUGAGUGAAUAUAUGUGUGUCAGACUCACUCCAGGCAGGCAUGGUGUAGCGCUGCUGCAGUUCCCUGAGGUCUCGCAGCCAGGAGUUCUUGAUGAUGACGGUGCGAGCCUGAAGCGUGUACUUCCUGACAGAGUCCUCACGCUCGUGCCAGAUCUCAAAGGCCCGGUCAUCACCCUCCACUGUCUCAUUCACAUCUAUGUUGUUCAGCUAGGGAGGGAGACAGACAGAGAAACAGUAGUUAUCCUCAAGACUAUGAUUCACUUUAUUUAUUUAUCUGUUAGGAAAUGAUUUUUAUGUCAUAGGAAGUGUGACAUUGAUGAUAUAUUCUCUCCAGCAGCAAUCUAUCUAUUCUAUGCCAACCCUGAACAACAGAUUGGAAUUGUCUGGUGUUUAGAGUUGACUAAUUCUUUGGUGACUUGUUUCAGUGGAUAGACAUGCUGAGUUACAUGUGGAGUUUUUAGAAAGAGCAAUGAAGAGAGUCUUACCUUCAUCAUGUUCUUAAAGACGUAGCCCUGGGUGUCUGUGUUGGUGUCUCUCUUGGAUUUGCAGAUGAUGACAUAGUUUUUGAAGAGGAACGCAUGUCGAUGGUGACCUCUGGAGGAGGACCUUACCCCAGGUGCACCCUCCCACACCAUGAAGGGACCCUGUCACAAAACACAACACCGUCACAUAGGCUACGGAAACAACAUUAGUUGAAAAUCCUCAAGAAUAUGGUCGUAUUCACUAGCCACCAAAUGGAAGCAAAUGGAUUUUGGUUAUUCACCUGUCUGAUGGGCUCCCCCAAUACAUCCAGAGUGGCAGGGUAGUUCUCUAUCAUGGAGACGUGGUGUGUGUUCUCUGAACGCUGAGGCAGUGAUGAAACCAUGGCAUAGGCCUCCUCCAGCAGGCAGCAGUUCUGACCGUUCCUGGCCUUGUUCCUGAUCAGCUCCUACAGUCACAGAAAUGGGCACAACGAUUUAAGAUAAUAAUAAUUACACUAAUAUUUAAACAAGAUUAUAUAACAUAAAAACGUAUGACAAUUUAGGCUCUGGUGCAUUAAUUCCUAAUGUGUGAACAAGAACAAAGAAUACCCAAUUUACAGUGUUAAACUCUCACCUUGAGCAAGGCCUUGUACUUCUGGAUUCUGUCCAGAGGUUUCUGUAGGUAGGCGUUGAUGCUCAGUACAGGACCUUCAGCAGGGUCGGCACUGGCCUGUUCUUUGUCUGUGUAUUCCUGUGACAAAGACAACAGGGUUUAGAAACAUGGCCAUUACUAGCCUUACAUAGUCACUAAGAUGACAAGACUUACACAUUAAUGACCACUUGUGCUAACAGUAUUUGUGAAGGGUUCACUUACCUUGAAGAAGCGGUGUACGGUCUUGUCACUGAUAGCGGCCUCUGCCUUUUGCUGGCCUACGAGGUACUGGAGGUACUUCUCAAAGCCCUCGCCACUCCUCAGGAAGCGCAUGGCCACGUCGUCAUCAGUGUCGCAGUGGCUCAACUUAGGGAGCAUGGACCUGCACAUGACACAUUAUGGGGUCAAUUCAUUCAGCUGCUUUGUGAGAAAUGUAACCAGUAGAAAUGUUACCAGUAUAUUUAAGCAAUAAACCCAGAGGUGGUGUGAUAUGUUUAUUAAGCAAUAAGGCCCGAGGGGGUGUGGUAUAUGGCCAAUAUACCAAGGCUAAGGACUGUUCAUUCUCACAAUGCAAAACAGAGUGCCUGGACACAGCCCUUAGCUGUGGUAUAUUGGCAAAGUACCUCAAACCCCAGAGGUGCCUUAUUGCUAUUAUAAACUGGUUACCAACGUAAUUAGAGUAAUAAAAAUAAAGGUUUUAUCAUACCCAUGGUAUACCGUCUGAUAUACCAUGGCUGUCAGCCAAUCAGCACUCAGGGCUCAAACCACCCAGUUUAUAAUGGCCAAUAUAUCAUGGCUAUGGGUUGUUCUUACGCAAACCUUAGGCAUGACGCAAACAACAGAGGUGACUUAUUGCUUUUACAAACCGGUUAUCAAGAUAAAUAGAACAGUAAAAUAUAUACUGAACAAAAAUAUAAAUGCAAUAUGCAACAAUUUCAAAGAUUUUACUGAAUUACAGUUCACAUAAGGAAAUGAAUCAAUUGAAAUAGGCCCUAAUCUAUGUAUUUAUACAUAACUGGGACUACAGAUAUUUGUUUGUUGGUCACUGGUACCUUAAAAAAAAGGUAGGGGCGGUGGAUCAGAAAACCAGUCAGUAUCUGGUGUGACCACCAUUUUUCUCAUGCACGCCACACAUCUCCUUCGUAUAGAGUUUAUCAGGCUGUUGAUUGUGGCCUGUGGAAUGUUGUCUCACUCCUCUUCAAUGGCUCUGCGAACUUGCUGGAUUUUGGCGGGAACUGGAACACGCUGUCACACACGUCAAAUCCCGAGCAUCCCAAACAUGCUCAAUAGGUGACAUGUCUGGUGAGUAUGCAUGCCAUGGUAGAACUGGGACAUUUUCAACUUCCAGGAAAUGUGUACAAAUCCUUGUGACAUGAGGCCAUGCCUUAUUAUGCUGAAACAUAAAGUGAUGGCGGUGGAUGAAUGGUACGAAAAUGGGCCUCAGGAUCUCGUCAUGGUAUUGAUGUGCAUUCAAAUUGUCAUUGAUAAAAUGCAAUUGUGCUUGUGGUCCGUAGCUUAUGCCUGCCCAUACCAUAACCUCACCAUCACCAUGGGGCACUCUGUUCACAAUGUUGAAUCAGCAAACCGCUCACCCACACAAUGCUAUACAUGUGAUUUGCAGUUGUGAGGCAUGUUGGACAUACUGCCAAAUUCUCUAAAAUGACGUUGGCGACGGCUUAUGGUAGAGAAAUUAAUAUUCAAAUCUCUGGAAAUAGCUCUGGUGGACAUUCCUGCAGUCAGCAUGCCAAUUGCACACCACCUCAAAACAUCUGUGGCAUUGUGUUGUGUGGCCUUUUAUUGUGCCCAGCACAAUGGUGCACUUGUGUAAAUUGUAUUUAUUAAGGAUCCCCAUUAGCUGCUGCCAAUGCAGCAGCUACACUUCCUGGGGUCCAGCAAAAUGAAGGCAGUUAUAUACAAUUAGAAAUAUUACAUGACAUUACAGUAUGCUUAAUCAGCCUAUUAAUAUGCCACACCUGUCAGGUGGAUGGAUUAUCUUGGCAAAUGAGAAAUUCUCACUAACAGGGAUGUAAACAAAUGUGUGCACAAAGUUUGAGAGAAAUAAUGUUUUUGUGUGUGUGAACAUUUUUGGGGAUCUUUUAUUUCAGCUCAUGAAACAUGGAACCAACACUUUACAUGUUGCGUUUAUAUUUUUGUUUAGUGUAAUUUUAUGUAAUACCUGUGGUAUAUUGUCUGAUAUACUCACAGCUGGAAUGCUGUUUCAUCUGUUGGGUUCUGACUUUUAGACUUGAAAACAUUAAAUAUCAUUUUUCAUGUGACUGGAGGAGAGAGGGGGAUGUAGAAUGUUUACAUUCUACCAGGAUAUGUUAUUGUCAGACAUUAGGGAUCCUAUGGGAGGAGAAGAGACAGUCUCAUGACAGAGAGUUGGGGAGGAGUGAGGAAUUUGGGCAGAGGUCAGGUUAGAAGAAGUGGGGAAGAACAUACAUCACUAAUCUUCUGCAUAGUAACAGAGGUGUAUUGGCUGUUCAGAUGUGUAAGGAGGGGCUCAGCAUAGGAGAAAGGAUUAAAUACUAGUGCUUGUGUGGAUGUGAUUUGUCUUAUGCAGCUGUAUGACCCAGUGGGUGAAUAAACUUGGUUUGAGCUUUAAUAA
ensembl:lncRNA